CCUACGGGGGACAGCAGUGAGGAAUAUUGGUCAAUGGACGAGAGUCUGAACCAGCCAAGUAGCGUGAAGGAUGACUGCCCUAUGGGUUGUAAACUUCUUUUAUAUGGGAAUAAAAUGUUCCACGUGUGGGAUUUUGUAUGUACCAUAUGAAUAAGGAUCGGCUAACUCCGUGCCAGCAGCCGCGGUAAUACGGAGGAUCCGAGCGUUAUCCGGAUUUAUUGGGUUUAAAGGGAGCGUAGGUGGAGUGUUAAGUCAGUUGUGAAAGUUUGCGGCUCAACCGUAAAAUUGCAGUUGAAACUGGCAGUCGUGAGUACAGUAGAGGUGGGCGGAAUUCGUGGUGUAGCGGUGAAAUGCUUAGAUAUCACGAAGAACGCCGAUUGCGAAGGCAGCUCACUGGACUGCAACUGACACUGAGGCUCGAAAGUGUGGGUAUCAUACAGGAUUAGAUACCCGGGUAGUC
rnacentral:rRNA from 1 species